UUUUUUACAAUUUUCAUAAAUUUUCUAAUUUUUGUAAAUUUUUACAAAAUAUUUUCCAAUGUUACAUUCUGGGCCAAUUUCAUUAUGGAUAGAGAUAAUUGUAAGCAGCAAGAUUGUUCAGUAAAGUAAGAUCUACAAACACAUCACCAACACCAAAACACAAUUUUGUCAUCAAUCCAUCUGUGUCCUUUGUUUAAUAUGCACAUAAACCAAGGUGAGCGACACAGGCUCUUU
rnacentral:lncRNA from 1 species